rnacentral:rRNA from 1 species
UACGAAGGGGGCUAGCGUUGCUCGGAAUCACUGGGCGUAAAGCGCACGUAGGCGGAUCUUUAAGUCUGAUGUGAAAGCCCACGGCUCAACCGUGGAGGGUCAUUGGAAACUGGGGGACUUGAGUGCAGGAGAGAAGAGUGGAAUUCCACGUGUAGCGGUGAAAUGCGUAGAGAUCCGGAGGAACCCCAGAGGCGAAGGCGGCGCUCUGGCUCGCAACUGACGCUCAGACACGACAGCAUGGGGAGCGAACGGG